AUACGGAGGAUCCGAGCGUUAUCCGGAUUUAUUGGGUUUAAAGGGAGCGUAGGUGGACAUGUAAGUCAGUUGUGAAAGUUUGCGGCUCAACCGUAAAAUUGCAGUUGAUACUGUGUGUCUUGAGUACAGUAGAGGUGGGCGGAAUUCGUGGUGUAGCGGUGAAAUGCUUAGAUAUCACGAAGAACUCCGAUUGCGAAGGCAGCUCACUGGACUGUUACUGACACUGAGGCUCGAAAGUGUGGGUAUCAAACAUGAUUAGAUACCCUGGUAGUCCACACAGUAAACGAUGAAUACUCGCUGUUUGCGAUAUACAGCAAGCGGCCAAGCGAAAGCAUUAAGUAUUCCACCUGGGGAGUACGCCGGCAACGGUGAAACUCAAAUGAAUUGACGGGG
rnacentral:rRNA from 1 species